CGCGAAGUUAGCCGGGGCUUCUUCUACGGGUACCGUCAUUAUCGUCCCCGUCGAAAGAGCUUUACAACCCUAAGGCCUUCAUCACUCACGCGGCAUGGCUGGAUCAGGCUUGCGCCCAUUGUCCAAUAUUCCCCACUGCUGCCUCCCGUAGGAGUCUGGGCCGUGUCUCAGUCCCAGUGUGGCCGAUCAUCCUCUCAGACCAGCUACUGAUCGUCGCCUUGGUGGGCCAUUACCCCACCAACUAGCUAAUCAGACGCGGGCCGAUCCUUCGGCAGUAAACCUUUCCCCAAAAGGGCGUAUCCGGUAUUAGCUCAAGUUUCCCUGAGUUAUUCCGAACCGAAGGGCACGUUCCCACGUGUUACUCACCCGUCUGCCGCUGACCCCGAAGGGCCCGCUCGACUUGCAUGUGUUAAGCCUGCCGCCAGCGUUCGCUCUGAGCCAGGAUCAAACUC
rnacentral:rRNA from 1 species